CUGUGCUCGCGGCCGUCCGGCCCGUCCGGCAGCCCCGGGUCAGCCCGGUGAACUAAGCGGACCCGGGAUGGCCGAGCCGGGGGCCGGCGUUCUGUGCUCCGUUUGCUCACCCUGACCGUGGCACCCGCAUAAGCCGUCUGUGUGUUCCAGAGAGGCCAGCCCUGCAUGUGCUGUCCGUGAGCGUGCUUGGACCUACGCAUAGGACCCAGCUGAGCGGGACAUUUACACGACUGCUGGGGUCGAGGGCAGAACAGGGGGAAACUGUGUUCUGGCGGAGGCACAGCACCCCGGGAGCACCCAGAGCCUGUGAGUAGAGCCAUAGGAAGAACACCGGGAUGCCGCAGACAAAGAAGAAGAUGAAGUAGGGGAUGAAGAAGGCUCCUGCAGAAGAGAGAGAGGCAGGGCUGAGCCACACCCGGGCUCUUCCUCAGCCUCCAUCCUUUCAGACCCUCCUCCCCCAACAAACCCGCCCUCCACCAUCCUGUUCUUAAUCUCCCUCCUGACACUUUCCAAGGGCCCACUCCUGCCUGCGUGCAGUCCUGAGUGUUAGGCAGGCACAGGUGGGAAUGUUCUGAUCUGAACCCUACACAGAAUGAGAAAGGCCUUGGAAGGGAAAUUAGUGAAAACUUAGGUGGAAAUUCUAAUAUAUGCACUAUUUAUUUUCUUAGUGUGCUUUACAAAUCUAGUCAAUAGAUUAUUUUUGGAAUAAACACAUGGCUUCUGUAUAACUUGAUAUGCUUAUUAAACUCUUGGUACAUUUUAGAGAAAAACAAAC
rnacentral:lncRNA from 1 species